UACGUAGGGGGCUAGCGUUGUCCGGAAUCAUUGGGCGUAAAGCGCGCGUAGGCGGCCAGAUAAGUCCGGUGUGAAAGCUACAGGCUCAACCUGUGAAUGCCGCUGGAAACUGUCUGGCUAGAGUCCGGGAGGGGCGAGUGGAAUUCCUGGUGUAGCGGUGAAAUGCGCAGAUAUCAGGAGGAACACCGGUGGCGAAGGCGGAUCUCUGGGCCAUUACUGACGCUGAGGAGCGAAAGCGUGGGGAGCGAACAGG
rnacentral:rRNA from 1 species